rnacentral:rRNA from 1 species
UGGGGAAUCUUGCGCAAUGGGCGAAAGCCUGAUCCAGCAAUGCCGCGUGAGUGAAGAAGGCCUUCGGGUUGUAAAGCUCUUUUGUCAGGGAAGAAACGGUGAAAGCUAAUAUCUUUUGCUAAUGACGGUACCUGAAGAAUAAGCACCGGCUAACUACGUGCCAGCAGCCGCGGUAAUACGUAGGGUGCAAGCGUUAAUCGGAAUUACUGGGCGUAAAGCGUGCGCAGGCGGUUUUGUAAGUCUGAUGUGAAAUCCCCGGGCUCAACCUGGGAAUUGCAUUGGAGACUGCAAGGCUAGAAUCUGGCAGAGGGGGGUAGAAUUCCACGUGUAGCAGUGAAAUGCGUAGAUAUGUGGAGGAACACCGAUGGCGAAGGCAGCCCCCUGGGUCAAGAUUGACGCUCAUGCACGAAAGCGUGGGGAGCAAACAGGAUUAGAUACCCUUGUAGUCCCUGAGCGGGCUGGCAAGGCGCAU